rnacentral:lncRNA from 1 species
CCUUAUGAAAAUAGCUUAUGCAAACAAAUAAACUUUUGUGUUAAUUCAUAUGUUUUCACUAACAAAAAUUGUGUCUUUAUAAACUGUUUUUUCAUAAACUACCUUGAAAAACUUAUAAUAAUACACAAAAACUUAUUUAUUUGCACAAGUUGCUUUGCAUAAGCUAAACAAUAAGCCAAUCCAAACGGACCAUUAUAUUCUAAUUUGUAUGCACUUAAUUAAGUUGUUUAUACAAACAGAUCCGCAUUGUCAUUGAUCAUUGAAAUAAUUUUCGAGUAAAGGCACUGCAGAAGGAUAAACAAACCAGCGUUGAAUUGAAGCGUCUCAAAGUUAUAUCGAGGUGAGUAUACAUUGAUUUGCUAAACCACUAGUACAUAGUAUAUUAUUAUGUAUACUGAAUCUUGCCUCUAGAAAUUUUGUAAGCUCUGAAACAAAACAAUAAGGAUCGAAAACAAGUUAAUAAAACACCAAAUAAACUUACUUCACAGCAAUACAUAUAAUAUAACAUACUGCCACAAAGACUAUUAUUCAAUCAAAGACAGAUUUCAUGUUCCAAUUUACUUUAGCAAAUUCAAAGCCUGCAAUAUCGAUCUCUCUUCCACUGGACAUGUAUUAUCCGGAACAACACUAUCAUCACCAAAUUCCAAUUGCUGUUUAAACUUGUCAUAUAGUGAAGGGGUUACUAGGCUAACACCAAAUCCUCUUAACUGCACUGGCAUGUACUGUGAUGUCGGUGUUCUUGAUGAUGCUCUAACCUGAAUUUUAAUCAUUGACCAAUCAUUGACUCGGCUAGCUAGGUAAUGAGACAAUCUUGGGUCAUACAUUAGAUACACAUGAUCCGAUUCAAUUCCGUGAUGUGGUCUGUUCAAGUACACUUUAAUACCUUCAUCUUCACCAUCACAGUCAUUGAUUUUUAAUUUAAGAAUUGAACCCUUUGAUGAGAUGGUUGGAAUGAUGAAGCCAUUGCAAUCACUAAUUUUGAAUUUAAGAAUUGAACCCUCUGAUGAGAUGGUUGGAAUGAUGAAGCCAAAAAUGAAGCCUAACCUAGAGAAAUAAGGAGCAGAAGAAAGAUCAAUAGUUAUGAAAUCAUGUGUAGUUGUACUAUAUUCCAACCACUCUGGAAUUUUGCUACCUGGGUACACGUACAUGCGUUGAUUAAGAUCGUGAUCAUAAGCUCAUCAUGUUAAUUUGAGCAUUCAACCCAAUAGCCUUGAGAGAAGGCUCAUUUAGUUUAAGGCAAUUCCAGAAGAUAACCCUUUUCCUCUUUUCCUUAAGUUGUUCACUAGCAGUUGAACCAAACACUACAUUCUCCAGUGAUACACAACCAAUAGCAUCUAGUAUUUCUAGCGAUAGAGGAAGCUCCGGUAGAGUUUGAAGCUCUCUGCAAUGAUGCAAGCCUAGUUGUUUCAACCUUGUAAGAUUCUUGAUGCUCCUAGGCAAGCUCUCAAUGUGAGUGUGUCCUAGAAGUAACUUUUCAAGUUUGGUUUGAAGUCCAAUUGUUGAGGGUAGUUCUUUGAUACUUGUGAGUUCUAAAUUCAGUUCGUUCAUAUUCUUUGAGGUCACUGAGAAUUCCUUCAGUGAUGUGCAGUUGUAGAGGGAGAGAUGACUAAGGGAACUUAAAUGGUUAUUAUUGCUUUGAAGUCUUGUAAGGGAAAUGCAUCCACUCAGAUCCAGUUUCUUAAGAUUUUUGAGAGAGAAAAUAGAUGGAUGGACACUAGUCAAUCCUGGACAGAAUUGGAGGUCCAUUACUGCAAGACUUGUGGCCUUUGAAAAGUCUGGUAGCUCUGUUAGGAGUGUUGAUGAAUGGAGUAUCAGGACAUUCAAAUUCACAAGAUCCUGUUCCAUUUAGAACAAACCAAGACAAGAUUUAUGAACCAAAUGAAUAUGAAUUUAACUGAAUGCUAAUACUGGAAUAUAUAUUGUUUAAAUAUGUUUUUUAGUACCUAAUUAUCUUUGGUCUCAUAUUGGUCCUUCAUUUCUCUAUGUGUCAACUUUGGUCUUUAUUUGUAGCGAACUACGCCACACAGAGAGCAUAUAAAAAAGCUAUUGAAUCAUGGUGGUAGAAAUAAUUGCUUGCAACUAUUCAAGCACAUUUAACUCGCAACUAAAAUUUGAUAGCUUUUACACAGGUUCUCUGAUAGACAGUUAGCUACAGAUUGAAGUUGACACAAUUUUAGAUAUAAAGGAUUAAAAUGUUACAAGUUCUUGGGGAACCAACAGUGACUUGACUAAAAAUAUAUUUUAGACUAUUUAUAUUACUUACCUUCACUCCAUGCCAAAGUUUUUUCAAUCGGCUAUAAGGCAAGCUCAAUGUAACAAGGUUUUCUGCAGAAAAUUUGGAUGGCAAGGAUUCCAAAGGGUAAUACUCCCAACGAAGAUAUCUCAGUUCAUU